CAUCAUUCGGCGUGCUCACCGUGCUCACCGUCAACAAUACAUAUUUCAUUACGUUGGUGUCUCUUCAAGUCGGGCCGCCCCGUCGACAGCUCUUAUAAAAGCGGCGGGUUCCUCCAGAAGAGUAGAGACAGACAGGACAGCAGCAGAGACAGACCUCCAACAGAUUCCAGAACCGCAGCAGCCAUCAGUCCACACUACAGCCAAGGAGAUCAAAAGAUGUUCACAAUGACUGGAAGAAUCGGCCUCCUUCUCCUCCUCUUGUUCGUCAAUGCAGAUGCGGCCAGCACCCAACAGGAGAGGAAGUUGGGACCGGCCAACGUGGCCCUGCCCGUCGCCAGGCCCAGUAGCAGCGUGCCCACCGCAAACGUGGCCAGCGGCGCCAAUGUCGCCCCGGUCCAGAACGUGCCCACCGCCAACGUGGUCAGCGGCGCCAACGUGCCCUUGGUGCAGAACGUCGCCCCGGUGCAGAACGUAGCCCCGGUCCAGAACGUGCCCACCGCCAACGUGGUCAGCGGCGCCAACGUGCCCUUGGUGCAGAACGUCGCCCCGGUGCAGAACCUCCCCCAGAUGCAGAACGUCCCGAUGAUGGCAAACAUGGCCAACAUUGGACAACAGCGGCAACUGGUCCCGCUGGGCACGGUUAACAUUCCCAACCUGGGUAACGUGCCGGUGUACGGGGUCCCUGUUUCCAUCAACCAGGCCGGGCAGCUGCAGAUGGGUACGGGGCUGGGCGGGCUCAACCUGGGCGGGCUGAACGGCGGGCUGAACCAGGCCGCGCUGAACGGCGGCGGGCUGAACCUGGGCGGGCUGAACCAGGCCGGAGUGAACACCGGCGGGCUGAACCAGGCCGCGCUGAACCAGGCCGUGCAGAACCUGGCGAACGCGUUGGGCGUGUCCUCGUCGGGCGUCACCCGGCAGAUGAGCGCCGUGUCGGUGCUGUCGGUGGUGGCGGCUAACCUGUGGUACCACUGGGGCUGCUAACCUGUGGUACCACUGGAGCUGCUAACCUGUGGUACCACUGGAGCUGCUAACCUGUGGUACCACUGGAGCUGCUAACCUGUGGUACCACUGGAGCUGCUAACCUGUGCUACCACUGGAGCUGCUGAGAGUCCCCCCUUCCCUCUUUGUAUAUGAGGCCGCAGGGAGACGGCUGUAGCCUGUGAUUGAGAGCUGCACUUCUGUAGGAUGAUAGGCCCGUUGUAUAUUAUAUGUAAUACCUUAUUUAUUAUUUAAAGAUUCUGAUCUAUUCUUGAUUGUUAAAAUGACUUGAACUAAAUUAUUGCCCUGAAUGUGUCCGCUGAACAAAUAUAAACAAAAUAAAGUUGUUCAAAACAAAUGCAAAAGUGGCAUCACGUUUUCUUCAGUCAGUGGAUGUGUUACUGUAGACAGGUGAUGUAAAUUAUUUUAGUCUAUGCUAUUUCUGAUGUCAUGUUUCAAGCUAUGCACGUUAUGAAUGGUUUCUUCACCCCAUAAUGGACAACACCAUAUAAGGUUUUAAUGAUUUUAUAGAUAAGCUAACGACUACAAUGAAUUUAUAGAUAAGCUAACGACUACAAACAUGAAAUGGCCACUUUGUCAUUUCCGUUUAAGCCAAGACAGACCAAAGGUUUACCUGGGUAAAUUAGAACAUGUAGGCGUGGCCUAUUUACCGCUCCGCCCACUCCCAAUAUAACUGUUUGUUUACCUAUGUUCGGCAGAUGCUUCAUGAACCACAUCCAGAACGCAAUCCCGUUUACCUUGUGUCUCUGUUAGAAUAAACCACGUGUUGAACCUUUACCACCCUGCGAGUCAGCACGAGACCACCACACCACAAAGGAUUCAAAUAGUCUUACAUCACAGGCCUGGGGCACGGCUUGGGCCCCAGGCUUUCAAGCGUCUCUAAUUUUCUAUGGCCAUCCGACAGCCAAAUUUGUCCUGGUCCCUCACCACUGUUUUCAGUUACCCUCAACGAUCUACAUUGUUUUGUAGCAAAAAUGUCUUAUGCCGAUGUUAAAUAUGUGCAUUGUUUGAAAUAAAAC
ensembl:lncRNA